UACGGGGGGGGCAAGCGUUGUUCGGAAUUACUGGGCGUAAAGGGCUCGUAGGCGGCCAACUAAGUCAGACGUGAAAUCCCUCGGCUUAACCGGGGAACUGCGUCUGAUACUGGAUGGCUUGAGUUCGGGAGAGGGAUGCGGAAUACCAGGUGUAGCGGUGAAAUGCGUAGAUAUCUGGAGGAACACCGGUGGCGAAGGCGGCAUCCUGGACCGACACUGACGCUGAGGAGCGAAAGCCAGGGGAGCAAACGGG
rnacentral:rRNA from 1 species